ensembl:snoRNA SNORA70 Small nucleolar RNA SNORA70
CUGCAGUCAAUUAAGCCGACCAUGCUCUUUUCCCCAUGGGGCCUAGUGUGCAAUGGCUGCAAACAGCAGCAUCCUUUCAAAACCAUGUACUGAAGAGAUUA